UUUUUUUUUAAUCCAAAAUUAAUUAGAACUCUUAAUUAGAGUUCAUAAGAGUCAUUCCUGAAAAAUGUUGUUUACAUAAGUGAUAUGAUGCGGUUGGACACGAACUUUAUGUGCCAAAUUAUCCGUUUUGACAUUUGCACUAUUCGUAAUAAUUUUUGAUAUAUAUA
rnacentral:sRNA from 1 species